UGCCAUGCUUUUCCACAGCUUUCUUGAACUUCUCUCCACUUUUUUUUCUUCAUAAUUUUGCCUGCUGCAGCUUGCUUUGCUUUGGUGCAGGAGAGCAGCAAUAGCUUGAAAAUAUUGCAUAUAGAAGUUCAAGAAAGCUGUGGGAUAAUAUGGCAA
rnacentral:pre_miRNA from 1 species